rnacentral:rRNA from 1 species
GGUGUUGCGUCUCAGGUCUACACUAGGAGCUGCAGGCGUCGGCGUUGUGCGCCUCGCGUCCGACCAGUCGUCGGUUUCACGGUCGCGGCAGAGGCGGUGUUGGGCCUCUGCGGAGCGCGAAGGCGGGGGGAGGAGAGGGAGGGAGGGGAGGGUUAGGUUAGACGGCAGAAGAAGAAGAAGAGAAGAGGAGGGUGCGGCGCACGACGAGGAUAUAUAUUGGGGACCCGGCGGGGUGUGGAGAGCAGAGAGAGGGAGAGGGCAGGGCAGGGGAGGGGGCGCGUGGACCUCGGUAGUAGCGUGCGAAGGACAGCUCGUGUGACGGACCGACGGACAGGGGCGCGCGACUCGCAGCAGGUAUACACUUGCCGACGCAACGCCGCCAAGCCGGUCCAAACGACUACAAGUAGAUUGAUGGGCCCCUCUUAAGUCUCAACGGGCGUCUCUUUCUUUUGGUUCUUCCUCUUGGUCCCUAGCUGGCUCGAAGCUUAAGCGGACGAGGGAACCGGUAACCAGCACGAAUUCGAACCCAGUUCUAAGACCAUGACUUUGUCGUUCUACCACUUGAAACCCUUCUUCAACUACCGUCUAGUUCAUCUUCUUACCUUUCCCAUGAUAUAAUUAAUGUUUAACUACUUCUUUAACAAUUUCGUUAUGCAAGUUGUCUGGGUUUAACCACCGUUUCUAACGCUCGUUCAAGAAUUCCUCAAGAGCUCCUAAGAACUACUAGUCUAACUUUCCUAGCACGAGAAAGACGACGUUGUUGUUCCAGUGGAGAGAUCUUCCUAACUCCUUAACCCUCGUGUCGCACGACGAUAAUACGUUGUCCAACUAUGUAGUUCUCAAAAGGUUGAAGCACUCCUAAUGUCUCUACAACCUUCUCUAGAACAUUUCGAAGAGGCGAAACAACUGUACUUACGAUGGCCAGAUUCCUUCUAUGACUUCUUUAAGCUAUUCGCCAAACCGAUAUUCAAAUGUCUAAUAAUACAGUGGUGAGCAAGUUUGGUAGGAAUAAGUGUCGAAGUCGUUCAGAAAUUCGUUCACCCUUAACAUCGGCAACGUCCACGAAAUAGUGCGUUGGAACGUAUAGACCUUGUACUCGUAGCUCCUUCGAAAAAUAGGUAUAUACUAUUGGGUAGUCAACAUGACGUCCUGGGAUAGUAUCUGGUCCAUUUGGUACGGCAUGUCUUUGAGUGUGUGCGUUGCUCGAAAUACGUUAUGAACCCUGUUGUGCGUGAAUAGCAGGUUCUGCUGUGUGGGUCACCUAGUCUCCUAUUACAGCUACUACUCUCGAUGGUAAAGUACAGGGACUACGAAUUGGAUCACUUGUGUAAAGAAAUGUACCACUUGUGUAUAUAGUAACAGGGCUGGCGUCUGCUGAUGAGUCACUCGGAACCUCGACGGCGCUGUCAAACACCGUAUUAGUAACCUAGCUACCGCCAGCGCGUCCACAAGAGAAGCCAAAUAAAAUCACGGACCAGCUUAUCCAGUAUGAAGUCUGGAGAUCAUAAGUCGUCGUAAUACGAAAAGAGACCCUUGGACGACAUACGUAACCGUAUACUGGACUUGAGGGACUGUCAAGAGGACUAACCGGCAUAUGAUACGCCCAACCCAAGGCGUUCUCGACACUUGGCAGCCAUAUAGUCACUGACACACGGAGAGUUCUAGUCCGAUGUUCGGAGACGUCCCAAGCAGUCACGGUCACGAGAACCUUACCGUACACCGGGACCGGAACGACCAAAAGAAGUCUGUUUUAAAUGCUAUAUGAGCGACUGAAAAUUGGUCUCGUGUAACGGACCUACCCAGUACAGGUAACGAACCGAAGAAAUGAACCACACCGACACCAAAAGUAAGUUUCUCGGCCUUGUGAAGCGAUUCCGACGCCGGCUCCGACGUCGGUCUUGUGGCGUCGGAAGACUUAGACCGGUAGUUCUUUCACGAUUAAACCUCCUUCCAGAUCGUGUUGGAGACGAAUAUCCAAGUCUUCUCUCCGACCUACUAUUAAGCCUCCUAUUACUACUACUUCUACGAUUUUCAAGGGUACUCGGUCGUUGUAGGAAACGAAGUCGUAUAUUUAACGACUGUGGGAGACACUUCCAUGUUGAUAACUAUAUGAAAUACGAGUUCAUACGCUACCUUUAAAACGAGAGGCUUAGUUCACAGCAGUGGUGUAUGAUAAAAUUGACCCUAUGUUCGCGGCACCGGUAGAAAAAUCGCUAAGAACCCAACUGACAAGAAGGUCAUUUACGGUAGCAACCCUCGAUGCAAUGUUUAACCAAACUCCUGUCCGUUUAAGACCACCGUAGACUUUAGUACCAAGACUAACCGUAAUAGUACUCGAAGGCAAUGUGUGGAGUGAUGAGGUAAGGUGUCAUGCAGAGAAGCCGAGAGUAGUGUAAGCAUAAGCGUCUCCACGAACUUCCUCAUUUGGACAGGGACGAAAGCGCCCAGUACAGCAGCUCCGACAGUGCUCCCUGGAUGUUACCGCCGGAGGAGAGUUGCCUCCGGCCCUGCGACCGGGCACACCAGCGCCUGCGCUGCUAGUGGCGCCGCCCGAUGGAUCCGUGCCUGUACGAGGAGUUGCAGUGGGACGACGGCGGAGACCACUAGUGGUAGGAGAGGUAGCAGCGCUGCAAGACGUGUAUGUUGUGGGAGAUGACUCCGACUGGUCAUGUCAUCUCCCACUUUUACAUGUCCGUCACUUUUACCAAGGGCGGGUGUAACCCGAACCCUACAAGUUUAUCACCGCUAUAAACAAACAUCUGAAGUAGUUGAAGUUAUUUGACACAUUUACAACGAGACAACGUGCAGGUACAUUCUUUUUCCGCAGCAUCACGUCAGCAUGUACGUAGUUUGUCUACAUUUAAUUCAAAAAAAAAAUUAAACAUAGGGACUUGAACGCUUAAGUCUACGUAAAUCACACACAACCUUUACGUCGUACCUAUACUAAAGACCGCGUGUGACUG